rnacentral:rRNA from 1 species
ACGAACGCUGGCGGCAUGCCUAAUACAUGCAAGUCGAACGAGAUCUUUUAGAUCUAGUGGCGCACGGGUGCGUAACGCGUGGGAAUCUACCCUUGGGUUCGGAAUAACUUCUGGAAACGGAAGCUAAUACCGGAUGAUGUCGAAAGACCAAAGAUUUAUCGCCCAGGGAUGGGCCCGCGUAGGAUUAGCUAGUUGGUGGGGUAAAGGCUCACCAAGGCAACGAUCCUUAGCUGGUCUGAGAGGAUGAUCAGCCACACUGGGACUGAGACACGGCCCAGACUCCUACGGGAGGCAGCAGUAGGGAAUAUUGGACAAUGGGCGAAAGCCUGAUCCAGCAAUGCCGCGUGAGUGAUGAAGGCCUUAGGGUUGUAAAGCUCUUUUACCCGAGAUGAUAAUGACAGUAUCGGGAGAAUAAGCUCCGGCUAACUCCGU